AGACGGCCCGGUUACUUUAAUCCACGCCCGCCCCAGUCCACUGCUUUACCCGGUCCAGUUUCCCUUUGAGGCUUAGAGUAUUGAAACGACGUUGUAUGUAGUUAAAACUACGUCGUUCCCCCCCGGUUAAACGACCCCCAUCCCCUUCUCUCUCUAUCCGCCACCCAACUCCGCCGUCCGGGAAUCGCCUUCCGGUGGCAGAACACCUCCAAACAGACUCAAAAUAUCACCCCACACACGCUCAUUUCUCACCUCACUCUGAUUUGGAGAACCCACUCACUCUCACGCUCAGAGGGAGGCUGAAAUUAACUCUCUCACACUCAUUCAAAAGGAAACGUUUCAGAUCGAGAUCAGAAGAGGAGAGCCUCAGAUGCACGAAAUUUGUUUGAAAAAAAAAGAGACUUCGAAGAGUUUUUUUUUUGAGUUCAGUUGAUUUAGUUAUACAAUAGCUGGGUUUUCAAAGUUGAAUCAAGCUUUCGAAGGGCUAUUUUAUUGCUGAUUACUUGAUGGGAUUGCAGCUGUACUUCUUCCUCUUUCAUCAUUGUAUUUCUCUCUGUUUUUGUUCCCUAAGGUCCGUUUUAUGAUUUCGAACUCGUUGGUAUGUUUGGACGAGGCCUCGGGAGCCCCGGAUGCCAUUCAGACGAUGCGCAGAACUCGUUUGGACUUGGAGAGAUGGCUGAAACAGCAGAGCUUCUGGUGCAAUUGCAAUUGCGAGGAGCGAGCUCGCAGGUGCGAGCGUGUGGCCGCAAAAGCGGUUUUGGGCGAGUUGGCUGUGGCUCGCAGAAGCGGCCUCGCUUCUGCGAGGGAAGGGCCGCAAGUGCGAAGAGGGCCGGCCAGGCCUGGUCCGCGAUAUAUUCUGAUUGUAUGGCAGCAAUAAAGCGGUAUCAAAUACAAGGAAGAUGGAUAUCUAUAUUCUGGAAACAUCUCUUCAGAUUGAAUAUAUCUUCCUUGUCAUUUUAAUCUCACUAAUUGAUGUGAUUAUAUUUUUCAAAUAAUCGAGUCUGUGUAUCUUAAUCUUCACCUUACACUUUAAGCUGAAAAAGUACUAACUUUAUUAA